AUGGCAGAUCGUUUCUGGGGCCCGAACUCCCAGAAGUCUGACUCGAAGCAAGGGCUAUCAAACACCCGCUUGGCUCGGACAGGCGGCACUGCUCGUUUGUCUGGGCCGCCGUUUCCCGGGCGACCACGCAAGUUCACGCCUCGCCUACUGGGUGUGGAUGGCCGCGGUUGCCAUGACAGCCGGGAGUCCUGGGGUUGGACAGCCGGGGCGGCGGGACUACGUUUCCCUACAGCCCUCGCGAGGGCUCCGGCUCUCCGGCGGAGGCACCGGGCCCUCAGUGCCGCGACGGCCCAUAGGAAGAGGGAAGAAGGCUUCGUGCUGCGUGCGAGGCGGGGACCAGGGCACCCGUGCGGGCCGCCCCCCAGCUGGUCCAGAGGAAGCGCCCUGGGCCCUGUGGCUACCCUGUCUGGGAAAGGGUAUGAUGGCUGCCCAGAAGAACAAGGCAUCAGCCCUGGCCCCCGGGGUCCUUCAGAGCACACCAGCCCCAAUGGUGUCCUCACUUCUCUGGUGCUUAGUGACCCCAGUGUGGAACAAGGGGAUGGGAGCCAGGCCCUGGAGCUACCUUGUGCAGAGUUGGAGACCAAGUACAGACUACUGAGGCAAGGUGGAGUCGCCAGCACAGUGGCCCAGCAGGUGGCUCCAGGAAAAGGUGACAUUCCCUGGAUUGUGCUGAAGACUGACACUCCAGGCCACUCUGAGGGGGCUGCAUCUGGAGGCCUGAGGGCCUGGGAAGACCCCAGACAAGCUCCGGUGGAGGCAAAGGACCAGGGGGCCCCCAGAGGGAAGCUGGAGCCUGCAGACUGUAGGAGGGACGGGGGCAGGCCCAGAAGCAUCCAAGAGGGCCUGGUGCCCGGCCCCUUGCCUCUCCACAGGGAGCCUGCCUGCGGUGCAGUAAGUGCGACAAGACAUUCAGCUAGAGUUCCUACCUGCUGCAGCACCAGCGAGUGCACACGGGCGGGAGGCCCUGUGAAUACCCGGUCUGCCACAGAGCCUUCAACUGGAACUCCAACUUCCUGGAGCACCAGCACGCACACAGGCGCGCGGCCCCACACCUGCCCGGCCUGGGGCAAGGCCUUCAGCCGGAACUUCAACCUGGCCGAGCACCUGAAGAUACGUGGGGGCGCGCAGCUGCGCGCAGCUGCACGCCUGUCCCGACUGGGUCAAGGCCUUCCUGCACGUGGCCGGCCUGUGGCAGCACCAGCGCACACACUGGCAAGAGGCCCUUUGAGUGCACCCGGUGCAGCCUGGCCGAGCACAGGUGCAGGCAGACAGGUGAGUGGCCUUACACGUGCCGUGUGUGCAGCAGGUCCUUCGGCCACCGCUCCAACCUCAACGAGCACCGGGAGCGGCACGCGGGUGGCUCCACACCCUGACUCUGGGAUGCCCCUGCCGGACUGUGAGUCUGAGUCAACUCGGCCGGGUGCGAGGCACCCGAUGCUGCCAUCCGUGGACAGUGUGUGUAAAAUCGCCAUCCGCGUGCCCCACCGUCGUGGGCUCGGUGUGCUGCAGCACAGGGAUGGCGACGAUGCAGGCAGAGCGCCAGGCCGUGGAAACAGCCCCUACGAUGACAAUGGCAGUUUCACUGGUGACCCCCCUGGCUGCACACGGGUGGCAGGGAGGUAA
ensembl:lncRNA